rnacentral:rRNA from 1 species
GAUGAACGCUGGCGGCGUGCCUAAUACAUGCAAGUCGAGCGAACGGACGAGAAGCUUGCUUCUCUGAUGUUAGCGGCGGACGGGUGAGUAACACGUGGAUAACCUACCUAUAAGACUGGGAUAACUUCGGGAAACCGGAGCUAAUACCGGAUAAUAUUUUGAACCGCAUGGUUCAAAAGUGAAAGACGGUAUUGCUGUCACUUAUAGAUGGAUCCGCGUUGCAUUAGCUAGUUGGUAAGGUAACGGCUUACCAAGGCAACGAUGCAUAGCCGACCUGAGAGGGUGAUCGGCCACACUGGAACUGAGACACGGUCCAGACUCCUACGGGAGGCAGCAGUAGGGAAUCUUCCGCAAUGGGCGAAAGCCUGACGGAGCAACGCCGCGUGAUUGAUGAAGGUCUUCGGAUCGUAAAACUCUGUUAUUAGGGAAGAACAUAUGUGUAAGUAACUGUGCACAUCUUGACGGUACCUAAUCAGAAAGCCACGGCUAACUACGUG